GAUGAACGCUAGCUACAGGCUUAACACAUGCAAGUCGAGGGGCAGCAUGUCGGUUGCUUGCAACCGACGAUGGCGACCGGCGCACGGGUGAGUAACGCGUAUCCAACCUACCCUUGUCCAUCGGAUAACCCGUCGAAAGGCGGCCUAACACGAUAUGCGGUUCACCGCAGGCAUCUAACGUGAACGAAAUGUGAAGGAGAAGGAUGGGGAUGCGUCUGAUUAGCUUGUUGGCGGGGUAACGGCCCACCAAGGCGACGAUCAGUAGGGGUUCUGAGAGGAAGGUCCCCCACAUUGGAACUGAGACACGGUCCAAACUCCUACGGGAGGCAGCAGUGAGGAAUAUUGGUCAAUGGACGAGAGUCUGAACCAGCCAAGUAGCGUGCAGGAUGACGGCCCUAUGGGUUGUAAACUGCUUUUAUAGGGGGAUAAAGUGUGCCACGUGUGGCAUAUUGCAGGUACCCUAUGAAUAAGGACCGGCUAAUUCCGUGCCAGCAGCCGCGGUAAUACGGAAGGUCCGGGCGUUAUCCGGAUUUAUUGGGUUUAAAGGGAGCGUAGGCCGUCUUAUAAGCGUGUUGUGAAAUGUCGGGGCUCAACCUGGGCAUUGCAGCGCGAACUGUGAGACUUGAGUGCGCAGGAAGUAGGCGGAAUUCGUCGUGUAGCGGUGAAAUGCUUAGAUAUGACGAAGAACUCCGAUUGCGAAGGCAGCCUGCUGUAGCGCAACUGACGCUGAAGCUCGAAAGCGUGGGUAUCGAACAGGAUUAGAUACCCUGGUAGUCCACGCGGUAAACGAUGGAUGCUCGCUGUUUGCGUCUGACGUAAGCGGCCAAGCGAAAGCGUUAAGCAUCCCACCUGGGGAGUACGCCG
rnacentral:rRNA from 1 species